UGUUGAUCACAUGCAAAGCACCAAUUUCAUUGAUCAUUAUACCACACUACGAGUACUCAAAGUGUAGAUAUGUGUGUGUGUAUAUAGUUAGUUAGGGUCUCGCGUCUGAUUAGCUAGUUGGUAAGAUAAUAGUUUACCAACGCGAUGAUUAGUAGCUAGUCCGAGAAGAUGAUCAGCCACACUAGGAUUAAGACACGGCCCAACGGGGAAUUACUCUCAAUCGGCGGAAGUCUGAUGGAGCAAUGCCACGUGAAGGUAGAAGGCCCACGGGUCGUGAACUUCUUUUACCAGAGAAAGAGACCUUGAAUUUGCUUCUAAUUUAACUUAGUCUGGUGGAAAGUAGUUUAAAAUCGUUUUCAGACUUGUUAGCA
rnacentral:ncRNA from 1 species